UACGUAGGGUGCAAGCGUUGUCCGGAAUUAUUGGGCGUAAAGAGCUCGUAGGCGGUCUGUCGCGUCGAUCGUGAAAACUUGGGGCUUAACCCUGAGCUUGCGGUCGAUACGGGCAUGACUGGAGUUCGGCAGGGGAGACUGGAAUUCCUGGUGUAGCGGUGAAAUGCGCAGAUAUCAGGAGGAACACCGGUGGCGAAGGCGGGUCUCUGGGCCGAAACUGACGCUGAGGAGCGAAAGCGUGGGGAGCGAACAGG
rnacentral:rRNA from 1 species